GGAACCCUAACAGAAAUUCGGAAGCACGGGAGCUGCAUUCAAUUAGGACGUGGAUACAUGAAAUGCUCGUCUCACGACCUUCUAGAAGAAUGAGCUGGGACCCAUGUUCCGAGUCCUGCUGGAACCAGAGGCCAAGAUUCAGGCUUGUUUCCGGUAAGAAACACGGACAGAAAUUCAGAAGAACGGGAGCUGCAUUCCAUUAGGACUUGAAUACACGAAAUGUUCGUCUCAGGACCUUCUAGAAGAAUGAGCUGGGACCCACUUUCCGAGUCCUGCUGGAACCAGUGACCGAGUACUAUGUGGAAUAACAGUGGUGAGAGGGAUCAUCCCUG